CUGUGACAUUGGUUCUGCAUUCAGUGAGGCUGCAUCUAAGAGAGAGAGAGAAGAGCCCUCCUCUUCAAAUAGCUUACUGUUUACAGAAACUACAAGAGACUGAGCUUCUUCUGAUGUGCCAUGGGAAUUGCAGUACAAGCUGUCUGCUGAGAUAUAGCAGAGCUGAGCUCUUCACAGUGGUGGUGAGGUAAGGUGAGGAAACCACCUCAUAGUUCGCAGUAUUCUGGGACCCUGCAAAUGAGAGGAAAAGCCUCAAUGGUACUAAUUUAAACUGCUGGUGAGUCCAUUGGGACACUACUGCUUACCAUAUGUCAACAUUUGGCAUAGGAUUCCUCAUUCUGGGAAUUACCCAGCUACAUACAAUGGAAGAUCUUAAUUUGAUCACUCUUUUGUUGCUGAGAGUUUUCCUGCAGAUGAGCUUCGUUAUUUACAUAAAUUCACUAACACAUGGUUAUAUUAACAGUUUCACACUUUUCAUGUAGCCUCAUUUUGACCAGUUAAUAGUUUAACCACAGAUCAAGCAACAUUAUGGACUAAACAUUCAAAUCCUGUUGCUGCAGGAUUAUUUUGCUGUGACAAUACUGGUCAAAUUAAGAUCCUACACCUGUAUGUAUGCACUCUAUUAUAUCCUUAUUAGAGUCCAGUGUGUUUCAACUGUGUGUUUGGUACUGUGUGGGAAUCAGCUGAUGGGGGACUAGAGGUUUGUGGGUCUCUGUCAAAUGUUAACAUUGUAUCAAAUAUAAUAGUAGAUUAAUCGUGUUGCAGGUUUACAGAUAGUAGAGACGGAAGCCUCCCUCUCCUUUAUAUGAGGUGCUUACUGCAACCUCUUCCCAUUUGUAACCAUGCAUGAAGAUAGCUUUUGCAUACAAAGUGGAAAGUGAUCUGAGCCCUACUCCAAUGCCUGGUGUCUGGGGGAUUCUCUGACAUGCUGUGAUCUAUGAAUAAGGUUUGCAGGCUCCGUCAGUUGUGCGUUGACAAACAGGAAGAGGGGUGGGGAGAGACCGAGACCUGGGUCCUCAUUCUAAGGAAGUCAGUGCUGUGUGGGCGAACCACCAGUCUUAUCUAGCUCGGCAGACAUGUUCAAGUGCCACAACUGACAGUUAAAAACACUUUCCUGACUAUGCAAUAGUUGUCGAGGUACACUUGAAUUAACUGUGCAGCCUGAUUAUUUUGAGGAGUUGACUCUUGUUUGUAGGGCCUAGGGAUUGGGGAGAAUAAUAAAAAAGUGCCAUUCUCUUAAAUCCCUAUUCCCGUUUGUUUUCACUGAUGUUGAAUAUAGUAGCACCUCCCCACUACAUAUUUAAAAAUGUAUUUUCAUUUUUAAAUGCAUUAUUUUGGUAAAUGUUUUUUUGUCAUAUAACAACUAUAAUAAUUGUAACUUUGGUGAGAAAAUGUAAAUGUCACAAUUAUCAUAUUAACACAUUGCUGUGUUAUCUUCAAGGAGCACGCAGGUUUUCAUAUUGGAACUUGCACAGUGCAGUGUUACAGUGUAAUCAGUCACAGCAGCCAGCCAGCCACCCAGCCAAAAACACAAGCCAAUUAUUUCAGGAAAAAAAGACAAUUGGCUCCUGUGCAAAUUUUAUCAAGCCUUUCCCCUCAUAAUCAACCUGUCCUUUUUCCACCCCCCUGUCUGAAUUUGGACAGCUCGCUGUGCCUGUUACAUUGGAUGAUCCUCAAUGAGUAAACAGCAGUCAAAUGGCUUCCUCAAUAAGUUAAUGAUUUGCUGCAGAGCUCUGCCUGCUGCACUGUCCUUUGGCUGGCACUCCACCUGCAACAUAUGGCAUCUUGAGCAUUAUUGUUUCGAUCUAAUUCUAUGAGUUGGGCCCCGUCAUGGUUGGUCUUUUGAUUAGAGUCUCAGUCCCCCAACAGCUAGUUUAUUCUCCAUGCCAAAUAAGUUGCUCAAAGCAACGAUGGAAUUUUAGGGCGAGACAGCUUGGCCAGAUCUGGGGCCAGGGCGACCAACUAACAGCAGAAAUAGGAAUUUCAUUAUUCUUUGUGAAAGACUCAGCCAUAUCUGAUCUGACUGUCAUCUCUAUUUUACUUCUUGUUGACUUUGCUCCAAAAACACUAGCCUUUAAACAGAUUUUGAUUGGGGUGUUACAACAACAAAAUUUCCACUCUCAACUUUCAUAAAAUGUAUGAAAACACAUUCUAUUUCAUGCAGGGCCUCGUUUGUGCCCGAGGCCAUCCGCAUGGUUAAUAGGAACAUUAAGGAAGUCGGAUGGACUAUUCUAGAGAUAGUUUAGCCCUACAAUUAAUUAAGAACUGUGAAUACCAUUCACUUUAAGUUUCUUAAAUUGCACUAUGCACCCUGACCUGGUGCCUUAAUAAGUGUCUCUAUUUAUUUUUUACACUGUCAGUGUGUGUUUGUCCUGUCUGAAGCACCAUGUCAGCCCGGAAGGAAUUGCCCCUUGGGGAAUAAUAAAGUUGUGUUGUGUUGUA